rnacentral:tRNA from 1 species
GUGGGACUGGGGCUCACUGGUAGUGCACUUGCCUGGCAUGUAUGAGGCACUGGGUUCAAUUCUCAGCACCACA